UACGAAGGGAGCUAGCGUUGUUCGGAAUCACUGGGCGUAAAGCGCACGUAGGCGGAUUUGUCAGUCAGGGGUGAAAUCCCGGGGCUCAACCUCGGAACUGCCUUUGAUACAGCAAGUCUUGAGUUCGAGAGAGGUGGGUGGAAUUCCUAGUGUAGAGGUGAAAUUCGUAGAUAUUAGGAAGAACACCGGUGGCGAAGGCGGCGAUCUGGGUUGAUACUGACGCUGAGGUGCGAAAGCGUGGGGAGCAAACAGG
rnacentral:rRNA from 1 species